rnacentral:rRNA from 1 species
AUGGGAACUGAAACUGUGUUGAGAAAACUGCCGGAGCUGCUGCAGGAUGUAUUGAGAAAGGUCUCACCACCCAUGGAAACUGAAACUGUGGUGAGAAAUUUGCCGGAGCUGCCGCAGGAUGUAUUGAUGGACAUAUUUUCACUCCUGGAGAUACCCGACCUCAUGCGUGCGGCCUCUGUCAGCUCCUCCUGGCGCUCCGCGUAUACCAGCCUCUGCAGCCAGCUUAAGCUGUACAAACGGCCUCAAACGCCUUGCCUCCUCUACACCUCUGAAUCUGCUGGUGAGAAUGUAGCUUGUCUCUACAGCCUCGCAGAGAAGAGGGUCUACAAUUUAACUCUCCCGGAUCCACCCAUCCGCAACAGGUAUCUUAUUGGGUCAUCACAUGGUUGGCUAGUUACCGCGGAUGACAAGUCUGAGCUACACCUUAUCAAUCCGGUCACCGGCCAG